GACGAACGCUGGCGGCGCGCUUAAUACAUGCAAGUCGAACGAGAAUCAUUGGUGCUUGCACUGAUGAGGAAAGUGGCGAACGGGUGAGUAACACAUGAGAAACCUGCCCCAAAGACCGGGAUAAGCUCUGGAAACGGAGUCUAAUACCGGAUACCUUCUUUUUAUCACAUGUUAAAAAAGAAGAAAUGCUCCGGCGCUUUGGGAUGGUCUCGUGGUCUAUCAGCUUGUUGGUGAGGUAAAAGCUCACCAAGGCAUCGACGGAUAGCUGGUCUGAGAGGAUGUCCAGCCACAUUGGAACUGAGAUACGGUCCAAACUCCUACGGGAGGCAGCAGUAGGGAAUCUGCACAAUGAGGAACCUUGAUGCAGCGACGCCGCGUGC
rnacentral:rRNA from 1 species